UACGAAGGGGGCUAGCGUUGUUCGGAAUUACUGGGCGUAAAGCGCGUGUAGGCGGGUCUUUAAGUCAGGGGUGAAAUCCCGAGGCUCAACCUCGGAACUGCCUUUGAUACUGGGGAUCUCGAGUCCGGGAGAGGUGAGUGGAACUGCGAGUGUAGAGGUGAAAUUCGUAGAUAUUCGCAAGAACACCAGUGGCGAAGGCGGCUCACUGGCCCGGUACUGACGCUGAGGUGCGAAAGCGUGGGGAGCAAACAGG
rnacentral:rRNA from 1 species